rnacentral:rRNA from 1 species
AGAGUUUGAUCAUGGCUCAGAUUGAACGCUGGCGGCAUGCUUUACACAUGCAAGUCGAACGGCAGCACGGGGGCAACCCUGGUGGCGAGUGGCGAACGGGUGAGUAAUAUAUCGGAACGUACCCGGCAAUGGGGGAUAACCAGUCGAAAGACUGGCUAAUACCGCAUAUGCCCUGAGGGGGAAAGUGGGGGAUCGCAAGACCUCACGUUGUCGGAGCGGCCGAUAUCAGAUUAGCUAGUUGGUGGGGUAAAGGCCUACCAAGGCGACGAUCUGUAGCUGGUCUGAGAGGACGACCAGCCACACUGGGACUGAGACACGGCCCAGACUCCUACGGGAGGCAGCAGUGGGGAAUUUUGGACAAUGGGGGCAACCCUGAUCCAGCCAUGCCGCGUGAGUGAAGAAGGCCUUCGGGGCUUUAAAGCUCUUUCGGACGGAAAGAAAUCG